CGUGGCCCCAAACCGACCCCUAUACUACUUAUGCUGUUCUUAACAAGUAAGCACCAUGCUUCAAUUAUAAGUGAAUAACUUUGAAAAAUAAUGUGUUGUUGUGUUUAUAUAUUACUCCAAACAUUACCCGUUUUUCAAAAAAAUGUGAUUUUUAUGUGAAAUUUGAGGCUUUAUUUAUGAUUUUCGCCUUGGUGGCAUCCUUUACCAGUCUUAAUAUUUUAACCACUACUUUGUACAUUAAAAACCAACAAAAAGUGCAAAAAUCAUCGCUGGUGAGCAGUGCCGCCAUAUUCAAAAACGAAAAAAACGUCCGUCUCCGAGGCACAUUUUUAUCCCAAAUGACACAAGCCUCGAUUUCGAUAAAAUGACGUUGAAGUUGACGUACCUUAAUUAGAUAUUUGUUUUCAUUAAUUUGUUUUUCAAGCAACAGUCAUUAGUGUUACAAUAAUAUCGGACGAAGAUUUUUAAGUUUAAUCGUUUCAACAUUUAGUUAUCGCGCUCAGUGAAAUAUCACAAAUAAUGAGUGAAUUAGCGAAUUGUUCCCCUUUGAAAUCAACACGCCAUUAACGGUGUAUACAUGUGUGAAACUGGGUCAGAGGAAACAUGCAAUUAUUGCUCUGAAUAUACGCGAAUAUUUAAAGUGCAUAGCGGAUAUAUUAAUUGUAAUGGGUAAUCUCCAGCAGUAAGAAAUAAAAAGGUUCACCGUAGUUUUGACUAUGCUCAACAAGUAUUGAACCCAUACUAUGCUCAACAAGUAGGGCACUUGUAUUUUAAGCCAACACAUAAAAGCAGAUUCUUUGGAGUUGCUGUGAAUCCUUGUGCAGAUUCUUUGGAGCUGCUGUGAAUCCUCAUGCAGUACAGUACUGCUGUUGGAAGAGGAGCAAACAGUGUGGUAUCUAUGGUCCACCAUCACUUCAAGCAUCAUGGCUAUGGAGAAAAGAAUGUUACAUACAAUAAUAGUGGAUGAAAUAAGAAAAGUUGUAAUAAGCUAUGGAAUGUGGCUUGUUACGAUGGGUCUACAUGAUGAAUUGGAGUACAACCUGAUGCAGGCAGGGCAUACAGAAUUCAGUCCUGAACAUGAUUAGAAUGUCUUCUGCAUGACCUGGUAUAGUAUUCUUGAAGGAUUAUAACUUCAACACAGAGACGAAGAUUAAUAUUUUUUAAGCAGGGGGUUGGCAUGACAGGCAAAUUCACAGCCGUAUUACCAUUCCUGAGCUGGAUGCCAGUCGACAGUGGUACCUGUAUAAUGAAAUAGCGCCCUUUUGCCGCAACAGCAAUGCAUGUUUAAAACCAGCAGUGCAAAAGCCAUUAAAAUUGAGAGCUCCAGUCAUUUAAAACGGAAAAUGAAUGGAAAAAAAGUGUUUUACAUUUAAAAUAAUACAGAGAAAAAGCUCUGACAUUUUAAUUAUUUUGAAAGGGUUUUUGAUUUUUUGAAGCUGUACUAGACCCAAAUUCCAUAUAUCUGAAUACCAGAAAUGGUACAUAUAGUUUAUGUAAAUACUGAAUUAACAACUUUAUGGUGUCAACAGUAAUACGCAUUUUUUAAAUAUUGACACACUAUAUACAUGUAAGGCUGAACACAGUAUAAAUGUGAAAUUCCUCUAAAACACUGGAAGAUUUGUCAACAACAAUUGUAACAUAUACUGUAGUAAUGUACAUUUUUUUCAUUACGACAGUUAGAUUAUAUAGAUCUGCGAAUAUUUUCUGCUGUAUUCAAACUGCAUGUAAUCAUUUCAGUGGGCAGUAUCAUGUUCAUUUUCCCUUUUCAUGAACAAUUAAUUUAACCUGUCUGAAAUCACAAUAUAUGUAUAAUUUGUAAAACAAACAUUGGAUUAUUGUGGAAACAAUUUAGUUUUUGUAUUAUUGCCGUUAGUAUCAUCUAAUUUUUUAAUACGAUCAAGACAUUUAAAAAGACAGUUUUCUAAAACUAUUACUGUGUGUUAAAUGAGAUUAUGUAGUAUUGUGUUUACUGAAUUAACUGCGUAACCAUGGAAACAUUUUUCUGUUGUUCUAUAUUAUGUCUUGAGAAGAAAAAACAUUGUUUGAAGAACCCUUUUCAUUGGUGCAUUUUUUUUAAUUUUUACAUGUAAUGGUAAAUGCUGAAAGUGUUCUACAUUAACUUACCAGAAACGUCAUUGUUGUCUCAUUGAAGCAUAUACUGCAACUCCAUUGUAACCAUAGCAACAGAAAUAUAUUGUAUUAUUUAUGAAUAACGAUCUUCACCAACAAAUUACAUAUGUAUUUUUCUAAAAGAAUGACCUCAAUUGGUUUUAUUCCAUAAAAAUCAGACAUAGCAAAUAUUCUCAUUUUGAUCUCCGUUUCCAUGGCAACCAUAUUUUUUUGGCCUCAAAUUAUAGGCGUUGCUUAGGGUUAUAUCUUAGCAUAUGAGAAUGUUAAUUAUACGUUCUGAUGUAAUUGUUAUAAGAGAUUUUCCUGUUUCCAUAAAGAAAAUCAAUCGGUUGCCAUGGCAACAGCAGAAUUUCAAAUGAAUUAAAAUAUGAGAUUUUGCAUUAUGAGUUGUUGAUCAUUCAUUAUAGUAAUAUUUCAACAACAUUUGAUGUUGUGCCAUUUUCACCUGUAAGUGAACCGAGCCCUUUGUCACAUCUUCAGAGAUAAUUGAUAUUCUAUUAUUAUAAUAAACCUUUUAUUGUCGAUCUGCAGGUAAAUUACAAACCUUAUAUUCUAUUUUCCUUUAAAAUUAGAGCCCGCCCGCUUAGCUCAAUAGGUAAGAGCGUUGGUCAACGGAUCUCGGGGUCGCGAGUUCGAUCCUCGGGCGGGGCGUAUGUUCGCCGUGACUAUUUGAUAAACGACAUUGUGUCUGAUAUCAUUAGUCCUCCACCUCUGAUUCAUGUGGGGAAGUUGGCAGUUACUUGCGGAGAACAGGUUUGUACUGGUACAGAAUCCAGGAACACUGGUUAGGUUAACUGCCCGCCGUUACAUGACUGAAAUACUGUUGAAAAACGGCGUUAAACCCAAAUCAAACAAACAAACAAAUUAAAAUUAGAUG